GGUACUGUGCCGAUCCGAAGCUGGGAACCAGAUCCUCCCUGCAACUGAACUGCCAAACACAGAACCCCAACCAUGAAGAGAAUUGCAGGACUGACCGUGGAGUACAUAUGUCAAAGCUAAGCUUCCUCAGUGCCUUAGAGCAGU